rnacentral:lncRNA from 1 species
UCUAAUUAAAUACUAAGGGGGCAAUUGCUUAUAUACUCCUGAAAAGUUUCUAACUUUCUGAUAUAUUCCUCUAAAAAUAAUUUUUUUAUGUUCCAACCUAUUUCAAAUAUAUCUUUAGAGUUAAAUUAUGUUAAUGAAUUAUUAGCAAUAGCUGUUAUCUUUAUAAAAUUAUUAUUUUUCUUUUUUAAAUUUAUCCUUUUAUCAUCAUCGACUUUUCUUAUUCGCCCUUAAGUUAGGGAUAUAACAAGUAUUUUCAUUCUUGAUCUUUUUAAAUAUACCCUUCUACCAUCACUAACAAUUAGUCAAAUAUCUACCAGAGUUAAAAAAAAUCAAAAUAUCUUUUCUUAUUCGCCCUUAAGUUAGGGAUAUAACAAGUAUUUUCAUUCUUGAUCUUUUUAAAUAUACCCUUCUACCAUCACUAACAUUUUUUAUUUACCCUUAAGUUAUGAACAAAAAAGAUAUUUUGAUUUUUUUUAACUCUGGUAGAUAUUUGACUAAUUCUUAAUUAUCCAAGUUAACUUAACGUGUAGUAACUGUAGGAGUAUUUUAGAAUAAUGGAGAAACAUAUAAAGUAUAUAUUGAAAAGAAAAAAAAGGAAGAAUAAUAAAAUAUUUUCGAAAUUUUGAGAGAUAUAUAGGCAAUUAUUCCAAAUGCUAACAUACAUUCUGGUCAGAAAAAAGAAAAAAAAGAAAAAAGGAAUUUUGUUAAGUAACAAAACUGUUCUAUUAGCUCAUAAAUUAUGUAAAAAUAAAUAAAUAAAAAUAGUUAAAAGACUAAAUAAUAAAUU